rnacentral:piRNA from 1 species
UAGCAAACACCAAAUACGACUCAGCAGCUGC